UACGUAGGGUGCAAACGUUGCUCGGAAUUAUUGGGCGUAAAGCGCACGUAGGCGGUUUGUUAAGUCGGAUGUGAAAUCCCUCGGCUCAACUGAGGAAGUGCAUCCGAAACUGGCAAGCUUGAGUACGAAAGAGGGUCGCGGAAUUCCCGGUGUAGAGGUGAAAUUCGUAGAUAUCGGGAGGAACACCGGUGGCGAAGGCGGCGACCUGGGUCGAUACUGACGCUGAGGUGCGAAAGCGUGGGGAGCAAACAGG
rnacentral:rRNA from 1 species